CCAAGCCUCCUCCUCUACUCCAAGCCUCCAACUCUGCCCACUCCAUAUCGCCGUCUGCCCAGUCCCCCGUUGCCGUCUCCCACUCCUUCACUCCCAGACAGCGAAGCUCCAGUCGGCUGUCCAGGAAGGUCACCAUCGCCGUCUCUCACACCAGUGCUCUCGGUUGCCGCCUCUCGCCGUUGCCUCUGCUCGAAUGCCUCUCGUCGUUGCCUCUGCUCGAACGCCUCUCGCCGUUGCCUUUGCUCGAACGCCUCUCGCCGUUGCCUCUGCUCGAAGUCCAGUCCACUCGCCGUCGCCGUCUCCCACUCCGCACUCCAAGACUCCAGGUCGUCGUCGCCGUCUCUCACUCCAUGACUCCAAUGCUGCUUAGAUAGGUGUCUACUAUGGGAACCCUGAAGUCACUAGUGGAGGAAUUGCAUUGAAGUUUUUUGCAUCAGUCCGACUUGAAAUCCGUCCUAUUGGGAAGAUAAAGUCUGCCAAAGGAGAUGAAGAAGUCGGAUUGAGGGUGCGUGUAAGAGUUCAAAAGAGUAAGUGAUGCAGCACAAGUGAUUGGACUUAUGCACAAGCAGAAUUAAAGAGACGGCUGGGAAGAAAGUUUUUGAUUUAUGCAAGUUCUUGCAACACAUAUACCAAAACAUUUACUGGGAUUGAUGGAGCUGGAAAACGACUGGCAGAUGAAGUGAGUGUGUAAAUGAAUUGGUGUAUUUAUGAACCUUGGAAAUUGGGCUUUGUUGGUGCAGCUAGUUGUGUUAAUGUGUAAAAAUUUAUAUAAAUGGUUAUGGCAUCUAAAUCUUCUAUCUUUCAGCUUUUAAUCAAAGGCAGAGAGCCUAAAUGGUUAUGGCAUAUAAUUUUUGUAAUUGUAAUUUCAUACUUGUUUGUAUUGAGAGUUACCGUGUGCAAUAAGGAAUAUUAUUGUUUUGUUUU